rnacentral:antisense_RNA from 1 species
CUUGAGGCUGCCGAGCCACAGCGGAUGGUCCGGCGCGCGGCCCUGGCCGUAGGCCGAGAGCAGCGCCUGCGCUUC